GAUGAACGCUGGCGGCGUGCCUAAUACAUGCAAGUCGAGCGAACAGACGAGGAGCUUGCUCCUCUGACGUUAGCGGCGGACGGGUGAGUAACACGUGGAUAACCUACCUAUAAGACUGGGAUAACUUCGGGAAACCGGAGCUAAUACCGGAUAAUAUAUUGAACCGCAUGGUUCAAUAGUGAAAGACGGUUUUGCUGUCACUUAUAGAUGGAUCCGCGCCGCAUUAGCUAGUUGGUAAGGUAACGGCUUACCAAGGCAACGAUGCGUAGCCGAACUGAGAGCGUGAUCGGCCACACUGGAACUGAGACACGGUCCAGACUCCUACGGGAGGCAGCAGUAGGGAAUCUUCCGCAAUGGGCGAAAGCUUGACGGAGCAACGCCGCGUGAGUGAUGAAGGUCUUCGGAUCGUAAAACUCUGUUAUUAGGGAAGAACAAAUGUGUAAGUAACUAUGCACGUCUUGACGGUACCUAAUCAGAAAGCCACGGCUAACUACGUG
rnacentral:rRNA from 1 species